rnacentral:rRNA from 1 species
GAUGAACGCUAGCGGCAGGCUUAACACAUGCAAGUCGAGGGGCAGCGGGUAUGUUAGCAAUAACAUAUGCCGGCGACCGGCGCAAGGGUGCGUAACGCGUGAGUAACAUGCCCGUAUCAGGAGGAUAACCCGGAGAAAUCCGGACUAAUACUGCAUAAUAUUUUCAGACGGCAUCGUUUGGGAAUUAAAGUUUCGACGGAUACGGAUUGGCUCGCGUGACAUUAGCUAGAUGGAGAGGUAACGGCUCCCCAUGGCGACGAUGUCUAGGGGUUCUGAGAGGAAGGUCCCCACACUGGAACUGAGACACGGUCCAGACUCCUACGGGAGGCAGCAGUGAGGAAUAUUGGUCAAUGGUCGAAGGACUGAACAGCCAUGCCGCGUGAAAGGUGAACGGGCCCCUAAUGGGGUUGUAAAA